rnacentral:rRNA from 1 species
AUGAUCUUACCCAAAGCUAAAGGGGGGAUGUGCUUUCGUGAUAUGCGUACGUUUAAUCAAGCCUUGUUGGCUAAGCAAGCUUGGAGGCUUAUUGACACACCGGAAAGCUUAUGCGCUCGUCUGCUGCGUGCAAAGUAUUAUCCCAACGGAAAUAUUCUUGAUACGGUGUUCUCUGAACGAGCUUCGGAGGUCUGGAAAGGAAUCAGCCAUGGGUUG